UGAAGUUACUUUGGCUUCAGACAGCAGCGUGGAAAGGCUGAGAGGUUCUUCUAGCACUUAAACAUCUCUCCAACAUUACUUUUACCAAGCCAGGAAUGAAACACUGAGUGAAGGUGGUCAGAUGAAUUGGCAAUUAAUUGGAAAAUCACCAAAGACUACAUGGUGAGGAAAAGCAAUUACUGCAAAGUGGAGAAAGAAGAAAAUGCAGUCAUUAGGGACAUCUGGUAUUAAACAGCCACAGGAAGGAUGAAACAGAUACUAAUGUGCAGUCUUCACUGAAGAGCAGACCGCGCUACAACGCAUCUCAGAGGGAAUGCUGGAGA